rnacentral:rRNA from 1 species
CGAAUGAGGAGAUUCAUCGUCAGCUUAUUCAGUAUUAAUGCAGGCUAUGAUGUGAUAAUAGAAUCCUUGUGGUCACUAGAUUAUACUUGCUUGUAUUAUUUUUGCUGGGUAUGUCGGCGUGCACUUCUCCUCUAGUAGAACGUCGCAACCCGUUGGAUGUUUAUCUAUGGCUUGAAUGGUAGCCUUUGAUAUUUUUUAUAUUGAAGACCUUCGAUGUCCUGAUAAACUGUUUGACGGUAUACAUAUGGUAUUGAGCCGCAAUUAUUUGCGUUAGACUUGCCGCAAGUAUGAUUUUAUUCUAGUAGUGCGGAUCUAAUGCCGUCGCUGGACAAAGUCUGCUGUUAGCUGUGUAAUGUCUUUAACUGGCUUAUUUACCGGUUAGCGAUG